rnacentral:rRNA from 1 species
AACGAACGCUGGCGGCAUGCCUAACACAUGCAAGUCGAACGAGACCUUCGGGUCUAGUGGCGCACGGGUGCGUAACGCGUGGGAACCUGCCUUUAGGUUCGGAAUAACUCAGAGAAAUUUGAGCUAAUACCGGAUGAUGUCUUCGGACCAAAGAUUUAUCGCCUUUUGAUGGGCCCGCGUUGGUUUAGCUAGUUGGUGGGGUAAAGGCCUACCAAGGCGACGAUCCAUAGCUGGUCUGAGAGGAUGAUCAGCCACACUGGGACUGAGACACGGCCCAGACUCCUACGGGAGGCAGCAGUGGGGAAUAUUGGACAAGGGGCGAAAGCCUGAUCCAGCAAUGCCGCGUGAGUGAUGAAGGCCUUAGGGUUGUAAAGCUCUUUUACCCGAGAUGAUAAUGACAGUAUCGGGAGAAUAAGCACCGGCUAACUCCGUG